GCACUGCUGAGGUGUCUCACAACAGGACGAAACGGCUGUCCAGUAC
rfam:Schistosoma margrebowiei strain Zambia genome assembly, scaffold: SMRZ_contig0000039